CAACUGUGGCUGCUGCUGACUGACUGUAGGACCCGGAAGGACCCUGCAGCAGCUUAAAGGGAGGCUGCUACAGGAAGUUUCAUCUUUUUAUCUUCUAUGAGACAAUAUUCAAAUGAUGUUUACUGAGUGGUUCUUACAAUUUAGAUCCAGCGCCCGGAGCAAAGAAGUAGGCGAAGCUCUGAGACAGCUGUUCGGCAUUUUCGAUGUAGUCAUGAUGGAGGGGCUGGUCGGCCGGUGCCAGGCCGAUUUUGUUGAGAAGCGACACACCGUCCACGAGAAGGUCCACGCAGCCUCCGAAACCUGCAGGAGGAGCAACAAAAGGCGGCCUCUCCUACAACUUGACGGCAGAUACCCGUGGUCGCCAGCAAAAUGAGUUCUUCUCCAAUUGUGAAAGGUUUCUUGGCUUUAGCAAUACAGUUUGCCAUGAGGGCAUUCAUUUAACAUUGUGGCUGCUAGACGUCCAAUCCCUUUUGACUGGGAGAAGCCCUCAUUGUCUUCAGUGAGACAAAGACAAAAAAACAGUUGCUGUCAUCCUACCCCAUGCCACAACUAUCGCAGCAGGUCAGCAAAUCCUGGGCCGAGAUCUCGACGCUGACCUUGGCAUUACUAUGGAUGCACACACGGUCGGAUAUGGCCUCUGCCGCACCAAAUGCCUGCAAAUGGAAAAAGUUGCUGUCUUUUUACUAACAACAACAUUCUACAUCUACACAAGGUCCAAACUGAUUUGGGUUCUGUACCCAACAGGAACCACAGGAGCCCUGGUCUCUAAUCUCCUUCAAUGUGGGGCAGUUGGGCCACUGCUCCCUGGAAUCAAAGUUUUUCGGCAGUGUCACGUCGCCACCAUACUGAACCCUGUCAACAAGGGAAGUAAUUCCAGUUGACUUCUAACAUUAACACACAGCAGACAACACUUUCAUCUACACCAGGGGUGGGCAAACCGGUCCUCGAGGGCCGCAGUGGGUCCUGGUCUUUGUUCAAACUUAUUCAGCACAGACAGUUUAGCCAAUGAGGUAUCAGUGGAAACAAGAAGCACCUGACUGAAAUCUACUGAUUGCACUUGUAAGAAACCGUAUUGGUGAAAGGCUGUCCUCAUGAUGGGUAUGAACAAAAACCCGCACCCACUGCGGCCCUUUGUGGAAUAGUUUGCCCACCCCUGAUCUACACGUAACACUCACAUGACAGGAAGUUUGGGUCCCAUAAGAAAGGUUCCGCACAGGGUCUUAACAUAACUGUAGUCAACAUUAUGAAAGUUGUGAGUGGCCUGCAACAGAGGAGUACAUGGUCAGUGAGUGAAAGUCAGCAAAAACAGAAUAAAAAAGCUCACCUUCCAGGUAGUGUUUAUCUUGUUGAUAAAGUCGACCAUCUCUGUGGAUAACGGGUGGAUGUGAGGUUUAGCCGAGCUCAGUGACAAGCUAGCAGCCAAUAAAAGGAGGGCCGCACGCCACAUGUUGCCUGAACAGAAACAACAACUAAAUAUUUAAAAAGUUGAACCUUCACACACUUUAAUCGUCAGUCAUGUCUGACAAAGUCUCCUUAUGUAGUGAAACGCUCGGCUUUGUCACACUUGAACAACAACCUAUGCGUUCAAAGAAUUCAAUUUUAUCCAUGUUUUAACACUAAAUGGAUCCAAAUUUCUGCAAGCAGUGCAAUUUGAAGUGCACUUCAAUCUGAAGCAAGCAGAACAAGGAGCCAUUGGAGAAUGUAAAGUGGGCCCUGUGUUCUACUUAAGUAAUGUUCAUUAAUGUGUUGCCCGGAAAGACUGGCUGGGAUACUCAUGUUUCAGUACCAUAUAAGGCACUAAGCUCAACCCUCCCCCAUCAGUUGUUGCUCAGUGUCAGUGAGUCAGCUGUGCUACAUGAUAGCUGGAGGAGAUGAAACACCUGAACUUUUUCCACCCAUCAAAGAAAACAAAAUCACUGCUAUGGGAAUACUUCAGAUACAGAAAAGUUAAAGACAGCCGCAGCUUAGAGGAGGGCCAACUUACAUGUAAAACAUGUUUGCGGAGGGUGGCUGCCGAGGAGGCUAUACCUCCAAUAUGAUUUCGCAUUUAUACAAAAUUAAAGGUUAGUAAACACUACUGGUGCACGAUAAUUAUUGGUCCAAUAAUAGGAAUUAUGACGUCAUCCUGAUAAAUCCAAUAACAUCUAUAAUAGGACCGAUAAUAUGUACUGUCUGGCUUUACAGUUUACACACUAGUAUGGGAAAUCAGUUGACCAUUUGCGGGGCAUUGCUCCCACCUGCUGCUCAGAAUAAUUCACUGCAUCUAUUUUUUGUUACAGUAGUUUGGUUCAAUCACUUACACAUUGCGGUGUCUAGCGGUAGCAUUGACAGUCGUGAAUGCUUUCUGUUACGUUUCCGCCUCGGAAAUAUAUGUAAGUAUUUUAUGUUUACUAUAACAUAUGGAUGUGCAACAUAUGUUUACUUCUGUGGUGAAGGCGAAGGGUCAUAUGUAAAGAACUUCAUAAGUUGUGUUAUAGAAGCCAGCCAAUGCUUUAGUAGCUCAAGCUAGUGUGCUAUGCUAUACAUAUAAUAGUUGUGUAUGUAAGUGUAUUGUGCAGUUUGUUGUAUAUUGAGUAUUGAAUAUGUGUGUUUUUCUGUUCUACUUUCACAAUAUUAAGACGAGUGUCUUCCCAUAAAAGCAAGAAAAGACCAAGCCUUGUGGUUUUUAUGGAAGUGCAUUCAUUCUUAGCUGGCUGUCGGGCAGUGCAGAAGUGAAACGCAGCGUUUUGUUCAUGUCAUUAUGAAAAAUCUGGUGAGAUCAAAGGCAAAUCUAUGUUGAAUCCACCACAAGUUUUUUCUCAAAUUAUACAUUUAAAAAAAUUAUAUAUUUAUUAUCGGUUAUCGGUAUUGGCUUUGAGGAGCAGGAAGCUAUCGAUACCAGUUUCAAAAAAUGGAUAUCGUGCACCCCUAGUAAACACUGUUACGAACUUUCCCACCAGCUAUGAGACUCAACGCCAGCGUGUUUAUUUGUGUGUAGCGGUGGUAAAAUGUGGUGUUUUUUUCUGUCUGGCAACUGUCUGUGUUGAGAAAGAGUGUGUAUACUGUAAACAUUAUACGAGUCAUAAACACGUGCUUUUUAUGGAAAAUAAUUCAAUUAUUUUUGUUCUGAUGGUAAUAACGUUGAGCUGUGGCUCUGGGUUUAGGCUCACCUCAAGGACUGCAUUUAUUUUAAUUUUAUUUAGAAUAACAUUAGUUAUUUUUAUUCAUUUUACUUAACAUUAUACUUAUGUUCCAAUUUGCUAAUAUAUUUUGAAAAAUAAAAAUCCUGUUCAAUGGAAAAAACGUGUUAGAGCUGUAAUUGCAAUACUGUGACACCGUGAAACCGUGAUAUUUUUGCUUAAGGUUAUCAUACUGUCAGAAUCUCAUACCAGCACAUGCCUAGUGUACUCCCAUUGUGGUUGUUUAUAUUGUGUUGUUUAUUCAUAGAAAGCAGCUGGACAGAAAAGGGUUUGAGAGGAAGGAGAGAAAGGAAGAAUAAUAAUACAUCAUUAAAUACAGUAUAUAUGCCACCUAAAACAAGUAGUAUUGCGGUCUACUCUUACCAAGGGGACACGUGUGGAUGUCACCAGAAACUUGUUAUGAUGGUGUAAAUUUGAUCUUACUACUCUAGAUAGUGAAGGAAGAUAUUCUUACAUUUUCUUUGUAAAGUUAUUGACUGCCAUUGAUGACCCUAGACCAGUGUUUUUCCACCUUUUCUAAGUCACGACAUGUUUUUGGAUUGGAAAAAAUCUCGUGGCACACCACAAACCAAAAAUGUUCCCAAAUUACUCUACAGUAUAUUUAAUUUGAUAAUUUUUAAAUAUUUAUACUUACUUAGUGUGAAACCUGAGCCUGUUUAGAUGAAUACAAAGCCAAUAUCCUGGCAGUAAUCUUCCUCAACAGCUCAGAAUUAUCAGACGGGGAUUUUAGCAAGGUGUUUAAACGCAUCAGAGCUGAGCAUCUCGCUGACAAUGGCUUUGCAGGCAGGUAGCAUUGUCUCUGCCACAGUGUGGGACUUUUUAGAUUUAGCAACAAGGUCACUGGCUUUUAGGGCUUUCUUGUUUACCUUUGUAAUAUUUCACGAAAAAGUUGCCUGUUUCUCUGUUUUUUCGCAAAGGCAAACAAAAUAGUCCAUUGACUUGUUUUGAAGCGACAUGUGUUUCGUUCGGAAAUGACGUUUAAGUGUGCUUGGCACCAUGGCACUGUUGGCUCGUGUCGCGUUCAAGAACUGCUCGGAUUUCAGGCCAUCAGCCACCUUGCUGUCCUCGACAGCGUGUUGGAAAAAACACGAGGACGAUUCAUGGUCGUCACAUACUGUAUGGAUAAUAUGGAAAGGACACUUUUGUGUAUAUCGACUCUUGACGAGUGUAAUUAAAUGUUGUACAGUAGGCAUGCUCUGGUCCACAUUGUCGCGGACAGCAAAUUUGUUGAUGGUUAGAAAUCCGAGCAGUUCUUGAAAGCGACACCAGCAAUACCUUGCUCAUCUGCACAUGACCAAAACCUUCUACCUACUCCUUCCUCCCAACUGCAACUCCGCCAGAGGAUGUUUUAAAAAAUGCGCUAUUGGAUAAUUUCUCGCGGCACACCGUGACACACCGGUUGAAAAACACUGCCCUAGACCUCCAACCCAUUUGCAAUUCAAACUGAUUGAAGGUCUACUAAAGAAUUUUAACCAAAGUCACCGGAGUCAUCAAAGUCACUGAAAGAGUUCAUGCAAAAAUAACAUUUAAUUUUUUUAUUUUUUUUAUUUAUGUGGUACCAAAAAAUUGUUGUGUAGUUUUUGAGUUGUUUAAAAAUGUUACUAUUGUUACAACCGUAGUAACCAUCUAAUGAUGCCACAAACAUUCUCAAAAAGCAGCAAGCACACAGGAAACACAUCUUGCAGUGAUUUGAAAAUAGGGAACUGUUGAAGUGGACAUGAAGAAGUGAAGAAUAAGAAGUGUAGCCUGUCACCGCAUGUGUGAGGCCAAUUUUCAGUUCAUUGUUAUAAGAAAUACUUAUGCAGUUUUCACUUCCAGAAAUGUACUGCAUUCAUGCGUAAAACAGGGGAACAAUUUGGAUUUGAAAAAAAUCUGUUGAAUGCAUUUUUAUGCCGAUUCCAAAUUUGCAGCUGUUAUUUUUUUGUAGUUUGCCAGGUUUUUCUUCAACUUACCAUGUUGCCACUACAUGCAAACAAUAAAAAUGACAAUACCCAUAUCAUUCAUAGAAACAUAGCAGCCAGUGAGCUAGUUUUGUCAUUUCAGGAGAAAUGUCAAGACUUCAUCACAAACGAUAAUUUCCAUACGUGAUCUUGGUGAACUGAACCGCAAACAAGCACAAAGUGAUCUCAAAGGGAAAAUUGUGGAGGCGCUGUUUACGUGCAGCGUGGUUUGUGUACCGUGACAUUUUUCAGACAUUUAUUUAACUUAUACCACCUUGUGUGCGAGGUUCCUGUUCCUGUGUAACAAAACUGAAACCACACAGGUUUUCAGCCGUUGAAAAAAAACACCACUGGGGCACCACAGUAGACUUUGCCUCCUGACAUGUUCACUUACUUCUUAUCUGAUUUAUUCUUAUAUGUGGUUUAGUCAAGAUUUUAAUAAGUGAGGAAUGACAACAAAAGUAUUUCUUUGUUGUGGGGGAAAAAAAGGCCAGCAAACCAGGUCAAAGAGCCUGGAGUCCCACGAAUGUAGAAAAUAAGGGUUUUUGCAGGUUUCAUCUUGUCAAACAGCCAUUUGGAUUAGAGCUAAAUCAAUUUCCUCAUUCCUCAUUGCAAGGUACCUGUUUACUUAACAAAAGAACAGAAGAUAGAGUACAUACACAAUUUAGCACCUUGUCAUAACAGAUUUUCUGCCACAUUUUGGAUGUUUAUCAGUUACCUUUCCCCCCACAAGCUUGGAUUAUUUUUUAAUGAACAAUUUUGCCACUUAAAAAAAAAAAAAAAAAAACUUUAUUUGGCCACUUAUCCCAUAACUAAUAUACGAAUUCAGCUAUACCUGCUCUUGUUAAAUUGUCUUCUAUGGCUGCCAUUGACAGCGAUAGACAUCCAAUCGUGGAUAGUGUUAAACUCAUUUAGAGAGUAUUUUGUCAAAUCAUAAUAAUACAUUUAAAAAAAAACUACAACAUUAAAUAUACAUAUGCUACCUAAUACAAGUAGCGUUGCUUUCUACUCUUAAUUCACUGCCAGCCUCUCACAAUUCGAAUGUAUAGGACAUCUAUCGCAGUCAGAAAAAAGUUAAAAGGAAGAUUAAUCCUUGAUGUAAUGUUCUUUACCAGUCAAAUUAACCGGUGUCGGUGCCAUUGACGGCGAAUGACGUCCAGUCCGGUUCAACACUUAAAAUGGAAUGGACGUCUAUCGCCGUCAAUGACAGCCAAUGUACGAUAAAUUUACACACAAAAACACUCGAUCGGGUAUUGAAAACUUAAAAAUGUGAUUUGACUCGAUUAACAAGCGGCAAACUUCACGUAAUGAUGUCGGAGGAUUAAAUAACACAAUUUUAUAAUUACCUGCAGCUAUUUUGUUGGUAGAUGAGAUGAAAAAAGUUAGGAUUAACGCCCUGUGCGGCUUGUACAGCCGACCUACUGCCACCCCAACCAGUCAGUAAACUGAAACAACGCUCCACGGCUACUUCUAGACAUGACGUCAUGUGACUAGUCACAUGAAUUUUGCUCAUGUGACCUUUACAAACGCAUGCGCACACGUUGGUCCUUCGAGUUUAGCAACAAUGUAUACUAGGCUAGAUAUCUGAUCCGCUAUGUAAGCCAACACGAUUAGACGCCGUUGCUUGUCGGCCAUUUUUCAUCGGUGCCAUUCUUUCAAAAAUAACAUUACAGUCAAAGGAUAGUGUACUGUUAUUAAGCAGCUAAUUCCAUCCACGUUAAUACGGGUCGUACCGUUUGUAAACUUAAUUCCGUCAAGAAUUCAGAAAGAUAACAGUAUAACAGUAGUGGAGAAAAAUAAUUUUUAUAUGUUUCCCUUAUACAAUUUCUUAGUUUAAACGUUUGUCCUGUCAUUUUUUGUUCAGUUCUGAAUAAAAUAGUCAAAUUUCCCACUUCCACUUCAUUGCAUUCAAAUAUUUGUAUAGUAUCCCAAAUUUCUGAAUACAAAACUUAUGAAAUUUCAACUAGAAGAGCAACGUGAGGGAGCAGAAUAUGGCUUAAGCAACAAAAUUCAAAGCAUCACCGUGUUUGGUAGAGUGGACACUCCCCUCAGUCAUGCCCCAAACUUUCAUCAUUCUUUCUCUUCCCAUCAUAUCAUCUACCCUGCAAAAUUGAGUUAAGUAGGCUAAUCCUUUAUCAAGUUAUUGCAAAAUUCCUUUUCUGACUUCUGUAAUCUUUUGACCUCAUUCCCCCAAAUUUAAUCACUGCUUGUGCCUUAUAAUACAUUAAUACACUGACAAUUUGAUAAUAAUCAUGUAUCCGAUGUUGGGUUAUCUUAACCAAAAACAUUCAGGCAAACGUACUGAACUGAAGACAAAACCGCUUACCGUAUGUUUUACCUACUGCCGGGGGUAAUCAACCAGUUGUUGGGAAAAAAAGGUUCCAUUAAUGCACCAAAAAACAGGACUGGCCACUUAUAUUCAGUACUGUCUACAACAGACAUGUCCAAAGUCUGGCCCGGGGGCCAAAUGCGGCCCGUGGUCAAAUUUCAUGCGGCCCUCAGCCUCUGUCAUAAAAUCACAAACGUCUGGCCCACACACAGACCUAAUAAAUUGGUCAGCAGUACUGCUACCAGCAUAUGAAGUA